GACGAACGCUGGCGGCGUGCCUAAUACAUGCAAGUCGAACGCUUCUUUUUCCGACCGGAGCUUGCUCCACCGGAAAAAGAGGAGUGGCGAACGGGUGAGUAACACGUGGGUAACCUGCCCAUCAGAAGGGGAUAACACUUGGAAACAGGUGCUAAUACCGUAUAACAACAAAAGCCGCAUGGCUUUUGUUUGAAAGAUGGCUUUGGCUAUCACUCUGGGAUGGACCUGCGGUGCAUUAGCUAGUUGGUAAGGUAACGGCUUACCAAGGCGAUGAUGCAUAGCCGAGUUGAGAGACUGAUCGGCCACAAUGGAACUGAGACACGGUCCAU
rnacentral:rRNA from 1 species